rnacentral:lncRNA from 1 species
UUUUUUGUACUCAUAUUUUUUUAGGAUUCAAGUCGGAUUCAUGAGUCGACAAGUUGACAUGCAUCAUGCUUAGCGUUCAAGCUGGAAUCUAGUUCAAGGUGUUCGAGAUUUAAUCUAUAAACAAGUCUAGAGUGAACAUUGUUCGAGCCGAGACUGACGCCAGAGUUCAUAGUGCUCUAGCCAUUAUAGAGUAGGUCGAGGGCUAUUAGGGUUCACAUUGGGACCUAAGUCGUGACUCUCAAGGUCAUUUA